rnacentral:rRNA from 1 species
UACGGAGGGUGCGAGCGUUACCCGGAUUUACUGGGCGUAAAGGGCGUGUAGGCGGUUUUCUAAGUCCGGGGCUAAAGACCAGGGCUCAACCCUGGGUUUGCCUUGGAUACUGGAAAGCUCGAGGGCUGGAGGGGGCAGCGGAAUUUCCGGAGUAGCGGUGAAAUGCGCAGAUACCGGAAGGAACGCCAAUAGCGAAGGCAGCUGCCUGGACAGAACGUGACGCUGAGGCGCGAACGCGUGGGGAGCAAACCGG